rnacentral:rRNA from 1 species
UACGGGGGAGCAAGCGUUGUUCGGAUUUACUGGGCGUAAAGGACGCGUAGGCGGUCAGCACAAGUCAGUUGUGAAAUCUCCGGGCUUAACUCGGAAAGGUCAACUGAUACUGUGCGACUAGAGUGCGGAAGGGGCAACUGGAAUUCUCGGUGUAGCGGUGAAAUGCGUAGAUAUCGAGAGGAACACCAGUGGCGAAAGCGGCUUCCUGGUCCAGCACCGACGUUCAGGCACGAAAGCGUGGGGAGCAAACAGG